GUGGGUAGUUUGACUGGGGCGGUCUCCUCCUAAAGAGUAACGGAGGAGCACGAAGGUUGGCUAAUCCUGGUCGGACAUCAGGAGGUUAGUGCAAUGGCAUAAGCCAGCUUGACUGCGAGCGUGACGGCGCGAGCAGGUGCGAAAGCAGGUCAUAGUGAUCCGGUGGUUCUGAAUGGAAGGGCCAUCGCUCAACGGAUAAAAGGUACUCCGGGGAUAACAGGCUGAUACCGCCCAAGAGUUCAUAUCGACGGCGGUGUUUGGCACCUCGAUGUCGGCUCAUCACAUCCUGGGGCUGAAGUAGGUCCCAAGGGUAUGGCUGUUCGCCAUUUAAAGUGGUACGCGAGCUGGGUUUAGAACGUCGUGAGACAGUUCGGUCCCUAUCUGCCGUGGGCGCUGGAGAACUGAGGGGGGCUGCUCCUAGUACGAGAGGACCGGAGUGGACGCAUCACUGGUGUUCGGGUUGUCAUGCCAAUGGCACUGCCCGGUAGCUAAAUGCGGAAGAGAUAAGUGCUGAAAGCAUCUAAGCACGAAACUUGCCCCGAGAUGAGUUCUCCCUGAGACUUUAGGUCUCCUGAAGGAACGUUGAAGACGACGACGUUGAUAGGCCGGGUGUGUAAGCGCAGCGAUGCGUUGAGCUAACCGGUACUAAUGAACCGUGAGGCUUAACCUUACAACGC
rnacentral:rRNA from 2 species